GACGAACGCUGGCGGCGUGCUUAACACAUGCAAGUCGAACGGAAAGGCCCUGCUUUUGUGGGGUGCUCGAGUGGCGAACGGGUGAGUAACACGUGAGUAACCUGCCCUUGACUUUGGGAUAACUUCAGGAAACUGGGGCUAAUACCGGAUAGGAGCUCCUGCUGCAUGGUGGGGGUUGGAAAGUUUCGGCGGUUGGGGAUGGACUCGCGGCUUAUCAGCUUGUUGGUGGGGUAGUGGCUUACCAAGGCUUUGACGGGUAGCCGGCCUGAGAGGGUGACCGGCCACAUUGGGACUGAGAUAGGGCCCAGACUCGUACGGGAGGCAGCGGUGGGGAAUAUUGCGCAAUGGGCGGAAGCCUGAUGCAGCAACGCCGCGUGCGGGAUGACGGCCUUCGGGUUGUAAACCGCUUUCGCCUGUGACGAAGAGUGAGUGACGGUAAUGGGUAAAAAAGCACCGGCUAACUACGUG
rnacentral:rRNA from 1 species